AGUGAACGCUGGCGGCAGGCCUAAUACAUGCAAGUCGAACGGCAGCACAGCAGAGCUUGCUCUGUGGGUGGCGAGUGGCGGACGGGUGAGGAAUACGUGGGAAUCUGCCCAGUCGUGGGGGAUAACGUAUGGAAACGUACGCUAAUACCGCAUGCGCCCUAAGGGGGAAAGCCGGGGACCGCAAGGCCUGGCGCGAUUGGAUGAGCCCAUGUUCGAUUAGCUAGUUGGCGGGGUAAAGGCCCACCAAGGCGACGAUCGAUAGCUGGUCUGAGAGGAUGAUCAGCCACACUGGAACUGAGACACGGUCCAGACUCCUACGGGAGGCAGCAGUAGGGAAUAUUGGACAAUGGGGGCAACCCUGAUCCAGCCAUGCCGCGUGAGUGAAGAAGGCCCUCGGGUUGUAAAGCUCUUUUGUCCGGAAAGAAAAGCAAUCGGUUAAUACCCGGUUGUUCUGACGGUACCGGAAGAAUAAGCACCGGCUAACUUCGUGCCAGCAG
rnacentral:rRNA from 1 species